rnacentral:rRNA from 1 species
GAUGGACGCUGGCGGCGUGCCUAAUACAUGCAAGUCGAGCGAACAGACGAGGAGCUUGCUCCUCUGACGUUAGCGGCGGACGGGUGAGUAACACGUGGAUAACCUACCUAUAAGACUGGGAUAACUUCGGGAAACCGGAGCUAAUACCGGAUAAUAUAUUGAACCGCAUGGUUCAAUAGUGAAAGACGGUUUUGCUGUCACUUAUAGAUGGAUCCGCGCCGCAUUAGCUAGUUGGUAAGGUAACGGCUUACCAAGGCAACGAUGCGUAGCCGACCUGAGAGGGUGGUCGGCCACACUGGAACUGAGACACGGUCCAGACUCCUACGGGAGGCAGCAGUAGGGAAUCUUCCGCAAUGGGCGAAAGCCUGACGGAGCAACGCCGCGUGAGUGAUGAAGGUCUUCGGAUCGUAAAACUCUGUUAUUAGGGAAGAACCAAUGUGGAAGUAACUAUGCACGUCUUGACGGUACCUAAUCAGAAAGCCACGGCUAACUACGUG